CAGCAGUAGCCGCGGGAAUACGGAGGGUGCAAGCGUUAAUCGGAAUUACUGGGCGUAAAGCGCACGCAGGCGGUCUGACAAGUCAGAUGUGAAAUCCCCGGGCUUAACCUGGGAACUGCAUUUGAAACUGUCAGGCUGGAGUCUUGUAGAGGGGGGUGGAAUUCCAGGUGUAGCGGUGAAAUGCGUAGAGAUCUGGAGGAAUACCGGUGGCGAAGGCGGCCCCCUGGACAAAGACUGACGCUCAGGUGCGAAAGCGUGGGGAGCAAACAGGAUUAGAUACCCCUGUAGUCCCUGUCUCUUAUAC
rnacentral:rRNA from 1 species